AGUGGGGAAAGUCUUGAGGCAUGAAGGCCAAUUAGGCAGCUGUUGCAAUAAUAUAAGCAAGAGGUAACAAGUGCCUGAAUUAAAGUGGUGACUCUGGGAGAAGAGAAAAAGAAGGGUCAGAAUCCAGAGAUGGUAUGGCGAUAGAAACAGCAGAAUUUGGCAAUGUCGCAAAUGUGGAGUAAGGGGAAAGGAGGAAGCUAGGAUGAUGGCAUGAGGAUACAAACCAAGGAGAGGGGAACAGUGGUGGUAUUUUGAUCAGAGGAAGGGAAGUUUGGAAGAGUACCAGGUUUGUGGGUAAAGACCCUGAUUUCUGCUUUAGAUCUUGUGAGGCUGAACUAUCUGGCAUUUUCAUACUGAAGUGUUCAUAAUGUAAUCCAGGAUGUGGAAACUCAGGGAAGACCAUGGGGCUGGAUAUACAGACCUGUGAAUCUCCUGCAUGAAGAAGCAGAAGCAAAUGAUUAUGUGUCAGAGCUGAUUAGAGAGAGUGGAGGAGGAGGGUUUAGAACAAAGCCUCGCAGAACACCUACAGUUGGGACCAUGAUAGUUGGAUUAUGAGCCAGCAAAGAAGACAGAAGUUAGACAGCUAGGAGAACUAAGGGGCAGUAGCAUGUGUGUCUCUGUGCGUAUUUGUGGGGGAGUCUCAACAGUGUCAAAUAUAGCAGACAGGUUGAGGAGGACUGAAAAAAGUACUAUGGAGACAUGGAAACAUGAGGGUUGUUGGUAACUUUGGAGAGAGCAUUUUAAAUUGAGUGAUAGAUAGUCAGAAGCCAGAUUGCAAAUGGAUGAGUGAGAGGAGAAGAAAUAGAGAUGAUGAAUAUAGAAAACUUUUUUUCCAGGACUUUGGCUGAGGAAAAGGAGAAGAGAUAUUGGAUAUAGUGUGAGGGGAUGAGGUCUAGAUCACAUUUUUAAAAGAGUGGGGCAAAGUUGGGCAAUUCUGAAGGCAAUACAGAAGGGAGCAAGAGAUAGGGAGAGGUUCAGAUUAGAGAGAGAGGAGAAUGGUUGAUGUAAUCUGCCGGAGAAGUUGGGAGUAUGUGGGAACAUGGCUAUGUGGAGAAAAGAAGCUGACCUUGGCAAGGUCAAAGACUAUUUUGUGGUUAGAGACUAGGGGAAAGUGGGAGAGAGUUUGGGCUUGAGACAAGGAACUCUGAGAUGAAAAGGAAGGAGCUCACAAUAUUUGACCUUCAUUUUCUCAGUAAAGUAGGAGAUAAUAUCCUCAGCUUAGAGAGAAGAUAGAAGGGGAACUGUGGGAGACUUGAGAAAGGGAAAAAAAGGUUUUGAAUAGCUUUUGUAGGGAACUAAAAUCACUUAAAAAAGGAAUAAAAUUAUUUCCUUAUUACAGGGAGGGCCCAGUUGAAGCAAGAUGAUAUGAAUUUGCAUGUUCACGGUUAAUAUGAUCGUGGGACUUCCUCCAAAGGUGUUGACCAGCAGAAAAAACCAUAACCAAGUUCAUUUGGAAGAACAAAAGAUCAAGGAUAUCCAUGGAAAUCAUGAAAAAAAAAUGUGAAGGAAGGAGGCCUUGCGGUCCCAGAUCUCAAAUUAUACUAUAAAGCAGUGGUUAUCAAAACAAUUUGCUACUGGCUAAGAGACAGAAAGGAAGAUCAGUGGAAUAUACUUGGGAUUUCUUGAAGAUGAAGAUGAAGCCUGUCCAACCACUUUCAUAUACAGGCAUACUUCAGAGAUAUUGACGGUUCAGUUUCAGAUACCUGAAAAUGGCAAACAUUGCAGUAAAAUUGGAUCAAUGAAGGCUGAGAGAUAGUGAAGAAUCUAGAAUGAAUCUUGCCAGCAUGAGGGACUUGGAGGAUGAUGCUGCCCAAUAAAAGAAGAGAU